GACUAAGCGUACACGGUGGAUGCCCUGGCAGUCAGAGGCGAUGAAGGACGUGCUAAUCUGCGAAAAGCGUCGGUAAGGUGAUAUGAACCGUUACAGCCGGCGAUGUCCGAAUGGGGAAACCCAGUGUGAUUCGUCACACUAUCGUUAACUGAAUACAUAGGUUAACGAGGCGAACCGGGGGAACUGAAACAUCUAAGUACCCCGAGGAAAAGAAAUCAACC
rnacentral:rRNA from 1 species